rnacentral:rRNA from 1 species
UACGUAGGGUGCGAGCGUUGUCCGGAAUUACUGGGCGUAAAGCGCGCGUAGGUGGUUUGUUAAGUUGGAUGUGAAAGCCCCGGGCUCAACCUGGGAACUGCAUCCAAAACUGGCAAGCUAGAGUACGGUAGAGGGUGGUGGAAUUUCCUGUGUAGCGGUGAAAUGCGUAGAUAUAGGAAGGAACACCAGUGGCGAAGGCGACCACCUGGACCAUAACUGACGCUGAUGCACGAAAGCUAGGGGAGCAAACAGG